rnacentral:rRNA from 1 species
UACAGAGGGUGCAAACGUUGCUCGGAAUCAUUGGGCGUAAAGCGCACGUAGGCGGCCUAGCAAGUGGGGAGUGAAAGCCCUCGGCUUAACCGUGGAGGGUCAUUGGAAACUGGGGGACUUGAGUGCAGGAGAGGGUAGUGGAAUUCCCGGUGUAGUGGUGAAAUGCGUAGAUAUCGGGAGGAACACCAGUGGCGAAGGCGACUACCUGGCCUGUUCUUGACGCUGAGGCGCGAAAGCUAGGGGAGCAAACGGG